UUUUUAAUUAGUCGAAGCUACCUGGCAUCAGCUAAUGUCACUUUGUAAAAUAAUGUUGCCAUAUUUAAAGUAAUAGUGAUGAAUUCAGUUCUCAUUCAAUCAGAUAAAUGAACAAUAAGUGUGAAUAAUAAAUAUUUAUAUUUUAAAUAAUAAAACUAUAUAAGCUUUAUGUUACUACUACUAGUAGUAUGUACAAUCAUUUUUACAAUCACGCAUUGUAAUAAUCACGUCUUAUUACAAAGCCCGGCGCGUAGCAACAUCAUCAUCAACAUUCGGCUCCUAACCUCUGGUCUGAAUAACACGAAUGUUUUCACUGCGCUCACGCUGUUUAGUUAUUGUUUUUGUUAAUUGUUUCGUUAAGUUGUGUUUGUUGUUAUUGUUGUCUUUAUUUGUUGUUAUAUUGAUUCGUAUAAACGAUAUGGAUCCUCAACCAAGCACGUCAAACCAAAACUUAUCCUCCAAGAAAGAAAAGACCACGGGUUUCUUUAACCGUUACCGAAAAACUUAUGGCGCAGAUCGUCUACAUACACGUAUAUGAAGAGAAAACUGCUUCACUUUUACCAAUUAAGACUCCCGAAAAAAAGAAUGUGUUUCGAAAACCGCUGACAUUUUGGGUAUUGAUUCUUAAGGUCGUCAACGAAGAUCCAGACUUACCCAAUUUUUCUUGGUAGUAGUUGUUAGUACACUUAGACAUGUUAUGAAAUAACUGAAUUUCAAAUAUGUCACAAAAAUCAAGACGAAGUAUUUUAAUUGACAGAGCCAGCGAUACCUUCGAAAAAUUAAGGAGUAUCGAAGGGAAGAAAGGUAUAUUUAUUACCGAGAUGAAACGUAGAUAGCAAAGGUCAUCGAGGAAUGAAGAGGAAGAUCGGAUUCGGAAGUCUUCAGAUAAGGGCAGAAGAUUAUUAUUAGCCAAAUAGGUGGGGAAAAAAAGAUUAUCUCCAAGAGAUGAAUGCCGAUUAUUUUGAAAAUUGGUUUAGGAGGGUUUUGCCAAAAUUAAAAAUUUAAAACCAAAUUCAGUAGUUGUGAUGGAUAAUGCCUCCUACCACUAUAGGAAAAGUAGAAAACUAGUAAAAAUAUACCAUUUGAAACUACAAUGGUUAAAGCUAGUCUUAUAGACAUUGUACGGCAGCAAUAACAACAAUACUACGAAAAUUAUGUUGUAGAUGAGAUGGCAGCGCAGCAUGGUAUAAUUGUUUUACGUCUGCUCCUAUACCACUGUGAGCUCAAUCCCAGUUGGUAUGGGCGCAGGCUAAAGGGUAUGUUGCGAGUAACAAAAAACCUUUAAAUUGACAGAGACGAAAAUACUUUUUCAAGAUCCUUCUUGACUUCUUCUUUAACGUGUCACGCCUCAAAGAUGGAAUAGCUGCGUGUCUCACAAUAUCAAAGAAGAAAUAGACAAAAUGUAUAGUCUCGACAACAUGAUGUUUCUGACAGAUUCAUAAUAAUUGUCGCUAAAAGAGACAGUGAUGAGUUGUGUUCGGAAUUCGGAUUAUUAAUAAAAAUAAA